rnacentral:tRNA from 1 species
GAGUGUAGCUCAAUGGUAGAGCCUCAGUUUUCCAAACUGAUGACGCGGGUUCGAUUCCCGUCACUC